GAGUAACUAUUUCAAUUCAUUUAUUGCUCUGUUUUAAUGUUAAUUUUUGGAAUAACUACAAAUUGCUCGGCAAAAAAAGCCAAUAGCAAUUUAUCGAUCACUUAUGUUAGUUCCAUCAUCAUUAUCAUUGAAUUAUUUCCAAGUCCUUUUUUUUCAUUAGCCUGUGAAACUUCCAAAAAGUCUUGAAAUUUUUCUGAAGUUUUCCUUAGUUUAGUGUUAAUUGAGGUUGCCAAUACAAAUUUUCAUUUUUAUUUCCUUGAAUUAUCCCUCUGUAAUUUCUUUCAUUUCAGAAAGCUUAAAAUAUUGCAUUCGGAUUGGCUGAAAAAUAUACCUUUUGCUCCAACUGUCAGCCAAUUUCAAUUUUCCCAUUUAUACUUCGGAGCUAUAAAAGUAAAAUGAUUUUCCUCAUUAUUUAAACGGAAUCGUACGACUUAUGAUAACAAUAAUUAGUUGCAACCAACCGCUGUGAUUACUUUCUUUUUUUAAGAUCCACCCUCAAUUUUUGUAAAACUAACAAAAAUGACAUCUUAUAUUCUAAGCACUCUUCUUUUUUGUCUGAUACUGAAUGGCAUUUUCGCCUCAUACUCGCAACAACAAUCGUGGAACAGAGUCAACGAAUUCCAAGAAAACGGUCCAUCAGUAAAUUUUCCCGGUUGGGCUGAUAGUUAUCCGUACAACCCGAAAUACAGACCAUACACGCAACUGUUUAAGUCGUGGGAAAGCCCGAACGAACACAUAAUGCCAGCCGAAUCUCCGAUCGAUCUCGAGGCGCAAAUAACUCCUUCAAUGUACAAUGACGUCAUGUCUCAAAUCCCACCUCAGAUGAGCAACAUAUAUUUCUCACAAGAAUUGGGAAACAUCCUCAAAAAACGAGGACACCUUUUCGACUUAGCAAAGCGCGAGCAGGGUAAAAAACGAGUUCGUAACCUAGGCAUGGGAUUUUAACCAUUUUAAGCUGCUGAUAUGGCAAUGUGAAUCGCCGGCCUAAAUUUAGGACAAACACCAGCCAAUAGGAUUGGACCUCGAUAUGAAAAAAAGCUGGCAAAAAGAACUGUCUUAAAAACCUGCAUUCUCGCAUAGGUCUAAAAUAGUUCGGAAAUAUGCUUUAAUUUUGAAUGCUGUAACAAUUAAACUAUAAAUUGAACUUUUGACGUCUCUUG